GCUCCCCUACCCCGGCUGCCUCCCUCGGUGCGCGGUGAGGCGCCGCUCUGCCCGCUGAGGUGCCCCGUUCGAGCAUGGCCGCCCCGCGCCCUUGUGUGAACAACUGCGUAACGGAGGCCGGGAGGCGUCGCGAGGGAGGCAAUUCAGAGGAGAUGGCUCCGCCCCUCCAGCAGAGCUUCAUGAUCCCCAGAAAGGAGAUAAACAUGGUUUCUGACAUGGGCAAGUGGAAGCGCUCUCAGGCAUAUGCAGAUUACAUGGGUUUCAUCCUCACUCUGAACGAAGGUGUCAAGGGCAGGAAACUGACCUGUGAAUACAACGUUUCAGAGCCAAUUGAAAAGCUGGUGGCUCUUCUGAACACCCUUGACAGAUGGAUCGAUGAAACCCCACCAGUGGAUCAACCUUCUCGCUUUGGGAACAAAGCCUUCAGGACUUGGUACGCCAAACUAGACCAGGAAGCAGAAAAUUUGGUGGCAACAGUGAUCCCCAAGCAUUUGGCCAAUGCUGCACCCGAAGUGGCCGUGUACCUGAAAGAAUCCGUGGGGAACUCUACCCGCAUUGAUUAUGGCACAGGACAUGAAGCUGCGUUUGCAGCCUUCCUCUGCUGCCUCUGCAAAAUCGGUGUCCUCAGAGUGGAUGACCAGAUGGCCAUUGUCUUUAAAGUAUUUAACAGGUACCUAGAAGUGAUGCGAAAACUUCAGAAGACCUACAGGAUGGAACCUGCUGGCAGCCAGGGCGUCUGGGGCUUGGAUGAUUUCCAGUUUCUACCUUUCAUAUGGGGCAGUUCCCAGCUGAUAGACCAUCCAAACCUGGAGCCUCGACACUUUGUUGAUGAGAAGGUGGUAAAUGAAAACCAUAAGGACUUCAUGUUCCUGGAAUGCAUCCUUUUCAUUACAGAGAUGAAGACGGGCCCCUUCGCUGAGCACUCCAACCAGCUCUGGAACAUCAGCGCCGUACCCUCCUGGUCCAAGGUCAACCAGGGCCUCAUCCGCAUGUACAAGGCAGAGGACAGGAACUGCCACAUCUGGGCCUUCGGUGGGAUCUGACUGAGAGGCAGCAUCUUUUGCUGGGAAGGCCAGCACUGUGCCAGCCCUGCCGGAGCAACAGGGAUUGCACAGCUGCCCGCUGUGGGAGGUGCACCAGUUCCCUCAGGUAGGGCUUGAAGGAGUUAUUCCUGCACACUGUGCUCUCUGCUCAAGCCAGCCAUGCUCCUGUUUGUUGCUGGGUCUUGGGGCAAAGUCUGGGCGGGCAGCUCCAGCUCACAAAGGGGUUAACUGUGCCGAACUUGGCGCACUCCCUCCCCCAGCCCUUCCUCUGCGCUUCACAUCCUGUGUUUAGGUUCCAGGCCACAUACCUCUCUAAUCUGCGAGGUGUCACUCCCAGGCCCGCUGGCUCCUUCCGCCCCCAGCUCAGCUUUCCUCCCAGCUUCCAGGAGGAGAGCAGCGCUGGGGGUCGACCCCCGAGGGGUGCCUCUGUGCUGCCCCUCUGGGUCUGCCCCAGCUCAGAGCUCUGUCUUGGAACCACUGCCUUCCAGGGAACCCUGGACUGGAGGCUCUGGUGUGAGAGAAGGAGGUCCUGGGGGAGCUCCCAGCCCUGAGAGCACCGAUGAAGCGCUGCUGCCUCCUCCUCAGCUCCCUCUCCUUUGGGUGUUCCCCAGGCACCCCACGGUGUCCUGUGCUGUUUGGGUACCCCUACCCGGUGUGCCCUGUUACUGCUUGGUUGGUUCCUCCUGGAGUUUGGCAGUGGUGUGCCCACAGCGCAGUGGGCAUGUUCACUGGUGUUUCGGGGUCACCACGUGCUGGCAGAUCUACCUGGCCUUCUGGGGACAGUAUAACUCUGGGAAUCCAUCAGGGUGUGGGAGAGCCUGUGGUUGUUUCUAGGUGCACCUAUGACAUGGUCCUUUUUAUGUUAAAUAGCAGACAACGUUCUCUGUGGAAAUGCUGAACCUGACACUGGUGGGUUUCUAGAAAUACGUAGAGAUGUGGCUGUGUGAGAGAGCACAGAAGCUGCUGGGAAGAGUAACAGAGCACAAAUUUAGGCUAAGGUAUGGAAGACGUUGAGUGAACCAAACUGCUGUGUGACUUCAGAUUUAGCUUCUUGCUCCAAGAAUGUCUGUAGAUCUUAAAGGAUUGAUCUUAAGUGUAUGGUCCUCACACAGCAGUGUGGCACUGCACGGUGCCUACAUUCACUUGGAUGGGGAAACUUACUGGGGAGAUCCCACUGAUUCCUGAUAUCUGCUCGGGGGAGCCUCCCACCCCACUGCUGGCUGAGCCAGUUCCUGCCCAGCUGAGGAGGAAGGGGGAGCAGGGACAUCACCACAGAAUCAUAGAAUGGUUUGGGAUGGCAGUGGCUGGGCAGGGCUCGUCACCGCGGUGUGCUUGGUCAUGCAAUUUUUACCAACACAUUUGCAGCUAGACUUGAAUGAUUUUCUGAGAAGGAUACGGUGUUUGGCUGAGGCUUUCACCUUCUGCAGGUGAGUCCUUCUGUGUGUUUCAGGCUGGACACCCACAGUCACUCUUGAAGAUCUUGUCUGCUUGCUAUGGGCUCCCAGGGCAAGUUUCUGCUGGAUGUUCCCAGCUGUGUUGCCUUCACCUUUGCUGUCUUUCUCUAAUUAGGCACUGCCAAUGUUAGCAGAAGAUAAGUGAGCCAACAGCCCCACGUACUGUCACAGAAGCUGUCUGCCUCAAGCUGGAUGAAGAUCUGUGACAGUAUGUGGGGUUGGAGGGAGGGAAGGUUUGGGUUUGUAAUGUUGCUUUUCGCCUGGCUGGUUAUUGUGAGAGCAAGGUUUCCUCCUCAUCCCCUUCUUCCUACUGCAUCUUCACCGUCUGAUCACACACUGUAAUGAGAUCAGAUGAAAUCCAGGAUGGAGGCUCCAGCCAGCAGCCUGGCGGUGACUGGGAAGUGCUCGGUGCUGACCGCUUUUGAGCGGAGGCAGCAAGGCAGAGGGCUCAGUCGCUUGGAGCGGACCAGCAGAAAUCAAUUGCUCGCUCACAACCCGCUCUUGCUUGGCAGAAGUGCAGCAGUUCCCAGGUCUGGUUUGUUUAAAAUGCGGCGUGGAUGCUUUGGCUCUUCUCUGUUCCCUCUAUGGGAUGACUUGAUGACUCUAAACAACCAGCACAAAGUUCAAGCUCGUCCAUGUGCUCUCACCUGGAUCCAUGCACUCCGGGAUGCUUGUUACAUGUGGACAGAGAGUAGAUUCAAGGCAACGUGUCUUCUGCUCUGUGUAUUUAUGAAAUCUCAAAUGUGUCUAUUUAUAAUAUAAAUAUAAUGGGUGCAGAAGUGUUAGCUUGGAAGUGCAAGGGCUUUUCUUAUUCUCUUCUUCAAAGGCGAGUGAAGAAGUCGACAGAAUAGAGUGUGGUUAAAGCAGCAGCCUUGAUGUUUUUCCCCUGAGCCUGCUUUUGAGUCUCCUGACCUUUCCUUCUCCACUGCAGUCAGAUGGGAAAUACUUUCCAUUGUAACUAAUCUAGUCCCGGUUCCAUCUUUAAAGGUUGGACGUGAUGCAGGAAUCUACUCCCCAGUUGAGUCUCAAGCCAGGACUUCACCACAAUUGGGAUGACAGGAAGAAGAGAAUAAGCUUGUCCCCUCUAUCAAACUAGCAUGAGCUACAUCAGUUUCACCUGCAAGGAGUGCAGGAGGGUCCUGUCUCCUGGCACCUUUUAUAACCCAGAAAAAUUGUCCUAGUCCUGAUGGAGGGAGAAGUUUCUCUGCUCGUUUCUUCUUGGGCUGUCGAUGCGUUAAAUGGGGAAGAUUCUUGUUCUUCCCACUGGUGGUAAAGUCUCUCCAUCAGGAGUCCAAACCAGUCACGUCUUCUGUGGGACUCCUUGGAGCCAGUUGGGGUGACAUUUCCAGCUGUCAGCAUCUCCACUAUUCAUUUCUCUCCGUUAUUGCUUCAUGUCACUGCUGUCCCGUGCUGCUUCCUCUGGGGAUUUGCCAGAGUGGUGCUAGGAGAUGGUGGCUUCUCUGAGCCCUUAGGAAGUGUUUGGGAAGCUUAGAAGUUGAUGUGCUCUCAUCGCCGCAGGACUUGCUUCUUCCUUCUGCUGGACACGGUGUCCCCGGCACCCAUGUAGAGGAGCAGUCCCCAUUGCAGCCCAGUGAGGAGGUCUGCAGCCCUCCUGGUUAGCACAGCCCUGGGUAAUGUGGCUGAUAUUAGUGUAGAUGCAGCUAUUGAGUUGAUGCACACAUGCUGCUGAGGUUUGUGUGUCUGGACGUGAAUCCAUUCCAUGCUCUGCGUGAGUCUUGGGCAGUCUGAAUCUGUAAUGACUCAAAGAAUAGAGCUCUGAGUGGCUCUGUCAGGCAGGUUUUGGAAAACUUUGACGUGGUCAUUGACUGCAGUCACUGGUCUCCCUGCUCUGGCAGGGAGGUGAGCAGAAGGGCUGUGCCUGUUCCAGCACAGAGCCCACCUUAGCUGGAGAAAGCAGCUCUGAACUGAGCUGCCUCACUGGGGGUGUGUGAAAUUGAUGUGUGAUCCUUACUCUAUGAUGGGAGUGGGAAUUCCAGGAGCGAGGUCUUUGGGAAUAAGGUUGCAUCUUAAACUGUGGCAGCAAAAUUGCGAGCGCUCGUUCAUUGAAGACCUGAGAAUCUGCAGCGCAGCGUGGGCAGCGCCUUGUGGCUGCCGGGUGGUGCUCAGAGCUGGAGCGUGGGCACCGUCCUGGGGAGGGAGGGCCUGCCUUUUCCCUGGGGGUUUCUGCAGUUCUUUAAGGGUUUGUAGGGUGAAGCUCUUCAAAGGGAUCAGCUGGAGCGAUGAGAAGGUGGUGAGGGAGAAAGCUGCUGACAUAAACACGCCUCUUCUGCUCAUGCUCCCGGCCUGAAUUUCAGCAAGCAAAAGGUUCUGGCUGAAAGGAAGGAGUUGGGGACGCGAGGUGUUACUGGACUGAAGAGCCUGCUGGGAGUGUGGGUGCCUGGAGAAGUUCCCUGUGAUCCAGCACUUUAAGUUCGGCAGCCUGCUCCCCAUCCAGCCUGUGACGUCCUAAGGAGGCCGCGGGAGGAGCCGAGGCAGCGGAGGCAUAGCGCGGAGCUCUUCCUCCUCCCCCACCCCCUCCUCCUCAUCACCUCACCCGUUCCACAGCCCAUCUAUUCCUGCACAUCCUCAUCGGCAACCGCAGACCCAAAGCACUCGGCCUUGCACGGGAGACGGGACCGGGGCGGCUCCUCCCGCAAGUCCCCGCCACCAGGAUGUCUCACGAGCGACCAAGGGGCUGUGCUGCUCCGCUCCGCUGCCGUGUGCGGGUCUGGGCGUGUGAAGGGGGUUCACUAGGGGCUGCCUGGCAGCAAAACCCUCUGCUUUCCUUCCCAAGAGGAAGGGGGUGUGGAGGGGAGGAAGGCACGUGUGUACGCGCUGGGCACUGGUAACAGCAGUUUCCCUUUUGGAAUUCCGUUUGAA